UAUGAUACAGGUGAAGUUUUGAGAAAGAAGGUCACCCACGUCCGUCAAAACACAUUUAUCCGAGAGCAUUUUCUGGGCAUUGGCAAAGAUUCAGCUCUGCUGGGGUGGGUGGUAAGCUAUUUUCUUCUCUAUCUGCCCUAUUUUUAAAGAAAGUUAGAUUAUUUUUUAAAUGCACUUUUUUCUUUAUGCUAUGCGUGAGAAUCUUACCAUCUUUCUUUGUUCUACACCCUUCCUUAUUUGAGAGGCAUGAAUAUUUACUUGGUUCAGAAACCACCUUAGUGUGGUCAUGGAGUUUUGGGUGGAAUGAAUCAAGGAAGAUGUUUAAUCUUAUUAAGCCUUUUAGACAUAGCCUAGUCUUAGGUCUAUGGGGCCUGCCUCAGCCAUCAAAAUGACUUCAUCUGUCCAACAGAGUCCUUUUCUGGGCCUUUAUCUUUCUAGUUACAGUUCUCUCAGCUCCAACAACCUUCUCAUUGCCUUUGUGGUACCCACAAGUGUUUUGGAAACAUGGGUUUUUUAGCAAUAAAACUUAUUUUUGAGCUAUCAGUGAUAAGCUUGAAUUUUUAGUUUGAUUGUAGAGUUUUGCUUAUUAUGACCCUAUUUGGGUUUGAGGUUGAGAGGCCAAAAAAAGGCUUUUUGGAAAAGCAAUGUUUUAUAUGCUAUUAAAAAAAGCUGUUUUAGGUAUUUUGGAGUUCUUAUGAUUAAAAACAUAUCAAAUUUAACUUUAAUUUUAAUACGCUAUAACUAACAUAUUUAAGAAGCUAUUUUUCUUAAUAGCAGCUCCAAUAGCAAUGCUAAACAAAUUCUUAGGCUAUGAUUGGAUGGUUUCUUGAACAUUGGGGGUGAGUUUAAUUCAAGAGGAAUGAAAUUAAACAAUCAAUUCCAACACAAAGAACAGCCUAGCUAAGGCUUUUCAACCAUACCUUGAUGAGCAUAUCUGUUGGCAGCCAAGUUGUUGCAGUUGGGACACCAACCAAUGCAUCCUGUGAAAAAGCAUAUCUACAUUUAGAAUCAAAUUUGCAUCCGUAUGCUUCUUGUCCCUCAUUCACAAAAUCAAUUUUUACAUGUUUUGAAACCAUUCUAACACUGAGGAUGCAGAAUAUGUGGUGAAAUGCCAUGUGAAUAAUAGAUAAAAAUAAGAAAACUUGAACCAAUAAACAAUAAUAAAACUUUCCCAUAAAAUUUUCCCUUUUAAACAACAAAUCAAAAGUUUUUCUAAGUGACCUUUUCCAUAACUUUUAGUAGGAAGUAAGCCAACAUCACAUGUUUCAAUAUCAAUCAUAACUAUCUAAAGAGCUGAACCAAAAAAUUGGCAUUGAAUCAGAAAAAAAUUACUUAUCAAGUGCAUGCUCCCUUGUCUCAAAUAUUCUCAAGUCCAAGACCUAAAAGAUAUUGUAGUCAGAAAAAGUGAAAAGGCAAAUGAAUAAAUGGCUUUGUCUUAUUUGAUUAUUUUUGCAAAAAAGAAAGAUAGGAAAGCUACCUCGCCACGGUCUUCAUAAAUGUAAUCUAAGCCAUUGUGAUAAGGUGGAUGCCCAACUGAUAAAUACUGAUAUAGAAAACCAUUAUAAGCAUCCCAAGCUUAUUUUGUUCAACAGUUGUGGUUAAAAGCUGGUGGCUAGUAGUAGAAAGCCUGAACGCUAAUGGCUGCAUAUUAUUAUUUUCAACGUUUUAUUACAAUUUUGAACGUCCAACAGCUAGAUUUUGAAACACUAUAUUUCGAAUGAUUGUUCACCUAAAUGAUUGAUUGGAAGCUCAAAACAGCUGAUUCCAAAUACUUAUCCAAACAUGACUAAGUCUAGCUGUUUGGCUAGUCAAAAGUAGAUAAUCUAUGCUAAAACUAACUAUUAACCAGGAAACAUCAAGGACUAAACCAAAUUCAAGACUUGAUUAGUUCUGAUGGAUAAAGCAUGCUUGGUAAUUACACGAUUAAAACUCUAUCCACAAUGCAUUUCUCAAAGAUUGAAAAGAAAUUAAUUAACUGUAAAGUUACAAGCAGUACCGUUCUUUUCUUCAGCAAAUGAGUAAGGGCAUUAAACAUAUGCUUAAAUUUACACUGUUAAGGUACUUGUCUUUAUCGACCUUCACAAUCUGACCUUUCUUCACUGCCCAACAAAAUAAAAUCCUUGAAUCAAGAAAAAAAGCAUACCCCAUAUUUCAUUUUCAUAAAGAUAAGCUUCAGAAUUCACUUGAAUAAACUGGUUUCUUGGGAAUCUUCUUAGGAGCAGUGGCUGAAGGUUGAGCAUUGGUGGUGGAGUCAGAGUCUUGAGUUUUAGUUUGGGUGACCUUUCCUACUUUCUCUGGUUCUGCAGAUUGUACGGCUCUAAUGGAUAAAAAAUGAAGGUGGGUUCUUCUUAAAACCUGUGGAUAUGGUGAGGGGCAUCGGACAUAUAUUCUUAAUGGAGUGGCAGAGAAAGCAGCCAUACCAGAGAGACAGAGAGCUACAAGAAGAUGUCAGUGUUUUGAUUUUGGACAGCCAGGACCUGGGAGACUAGGGAUAAGGUGACUAGUGAAUUAGCU
rnacentral:misc_RNA from 1 species